rnacentral:lncRNA from 1 species
CACUAAAGUAUCGAAUAAAGCUUGAUCUCGGGCGAGGUGAAGAUUUACAAUAAAAUUAUGACUUGAACUUGAAAUGAUUCAGAAGCCCAAAUUGAAUGAUUUUUAAUUUGAAUUAAAUAAAAAAUCAAGAAAUAUGAAUCUUGAAACAAAAUUUCAAGGAUUUCCAUUUCCAAAAAGAAACAAAAUUUAGUAAGCAAAGCAUGAACUUUACAGUGUAUGAUACUCGUACAAGAUAAUCAAGUCACUUAAUUAGUGACAUUAACCAAAGCCCCAAAUUUCUUCCAAACUCAGGGUCUUCGCAUACCAUACUAAUAAAUGGGUAGCUCUCUAUAUCUAUCCAUAUCAAAGUAGAUAAACCUAGACAAACACAAAUACUCAACUCCACCGAGACAAUAACAACAAAGGAGAAAACGGGUAUCCACGUCAACAUAUGUCUGCAAAAAUGCACCUUUACAGACCAUUAUCAACAAAUGGGCCUCUCUCAAUAAUGUAACUUAACAUGCCAUCUCAAAAAAAAGGAAACUUCCUAUCAAUCCAUAAAUACAAAUAUGUACACAUGAAUUACCGAGAGGAAUGAAAAAAAAUUGAAACAAAAGAAGUGUAAUUUGUAGGAGUGCACACAAAACAAAUAGACAAACUGAAAGUGAACUACUUUGUAUCAACUUCCAAGUAAAUUUUUUUAAUAAUAUCACAUCUAAAUUACAACAGCAUUAAAAGUGAAAAUUAUUCAGUGAAAGAAAGUAAGGUUGGUAGGCCAAACUAAAUUUAAAAACAAUUUUAAAAUUAUUCACCUGGAUUUUCAUAUCAAUUAAAGAGAAAAAGGCACGUGACCAAACACCACCUUAGCAGUAAAGAAUCCAUUUCCAUUUCGUCAUUAUUGUUGAAUAAUUAUCCGGUCAAAAAAAUUAUUAGUAACAAAUACUCCUCUGUUUCAAAAAAAAGGCAUUUAUAAGAGAUAUCUCAAAAUAUAUAUAUAUAUUUUUAUUUUAAAAUAACUUGACAUUCUUAAUUUAUCAUCAUUGUUAACGUCAAGGUCCAACUGUUUGCCCAAUCACCGAACAAAGAGCUAAAUCUUGAACAUAAAAUGGGCAAACAGUGUAGACGCUGUAUCUAUUAAGUGAUGCCAAUGACUAAUUCAAGCAAUCAAUAUAGUGCUGCCAAUGACUGAUUUGCGGUGUAUGUGCCGUUGGUGAGGUGCCCUGCAGGUAAUUGUGAAAAUUUUCUAAUUUAAAAUGGUUCUUUUUACCCUUCUUAAGAAAAAAUCAACCGUGACUUUAAGAUCCUUUCAAUUCUGUAUAGCAAAAACUCAUUUACUAUGACUUUAAGAUCCUUUCAAGAAGGCAUAAAAACCAUACAUCUAAAAUUCUAGGUUAGAAUAAAAUUCAUAGUAUCAGAGACUUGCUCAAGAUGUAUUUCAUGCAAAACUCAUUGUCACUUUGAAAUAUUUAUCUAGUAGUGGAAUCCAUAUCACAUAACCUAUACUACCAUUUAGCUCUCCCAGUGUAAAAUGAGCCUUAUAAUAACGUGAACGUGUAACUUGAUGUGACAUUUAUGUUUUCUCUCUCUGCUCUG